UUAAUUUAAGUGAAUAAUCACGUUAACCUUUGAAGCUAAAAAAAUUAAUUAGAUUUAAUAAAUUAAA
rnacentral:tRNA from 1 species